UUUUUGUUGUUGUGAGUGAGUGAAUCUUUGCGGCGCACCGAGCAGACUGAAAAAGGGUUCGCGUGAGUCGCGAGCGCCCACCGCUCGGGAAUGCGCGACGAAGGACGAACGCCGACGAGAGCAGCGGCGGCUGGUGCAACGUUCGUGCAACGCGCGCACGCGCACACCGCGCGCGUCUGCAUCUCAAGGACAUGCGACUAUUUAUAAAACGCAACGCGAAGCGCGAGCGGUGACGGCGCGUAAAACGUAAACUAGAAAAGCAGAGUGGGUGUGCACACAGCACAAUGCAACACAAAUUCAAAGCGUUUUUCAAAUAUCAUCACAAACACAGUCGGCCGGGGAAAGAAUUCACAUAUAGGCAACACACAUCACACCACAAAUGUCAUACAAACAACAAACAAGAUGGCUGAACAGGAUAAAAAGGCUGAAAUGAAGCAAAAAAUCGCCGAUAUCAAAGCAAUGAUCACCGGUGAAUUGAGUAAAGCUAUGCGAAGGCCACGAUCGUCAUACGGAGGCCCUGUACGUAUAAGUUCCGGCGUGCCGAUGAAGUUUCCCUACACAUUUACAGCGAAAUUAAUACAAUUCCCAUGGAAAUAUUACAUCCGAAAUCAAUGGAUAUGGAAAUAUUACUUUAUCGCUGUUAUUGUAUCAAUACCAGUAUUUAAAAAGAUCUCCAACUUGUCAAACAGCAAGGAAAACAAAGCGAAAUGGGCCGAGAUGCAACGCAAAGAAAAACACAAACAUUAAAUCAUCAUAACCUUCAAAUACAACACAAAAUGGCGUAGGUUAAAAUAUUAAAAUGGCCGGGUAUUGUAUGAAAACCUCUUGCUUUGCUAAAUAGACAACUGAUUCUUGUUUCAAUUCGCGAGAGUUGUUGGAUGCGUUGGCAGUGCAGUGCACCAGUUGCUUCGUUGGCCGGCGCGUCGUAAAAUCUAAACAAUUUGACCUUCUGCCAGCCACUCACAACCACACAACGGCUCAGACACUCGGCGAACGAACAAACCGAAUGCGUUCGUAAAUACAUACAAAGCUGCGCAAUUAUUGCUAUUAGCAUUUACUGGCAUUAACAGACGCGUCGCAAUCGCUAAAUCAUUGGUUUUUAGUGUGUCACUUUCUAAUCUUACUACACAGCAGCAGAAUUAUUUAAUUUGAUGACUAACGGCGGCCAUUUUGAAUGAAAACUGAAAAUCCGCAGCAUCAUGCUGAUUAAUUAGAAGACGCCGAGUAAUUUAUGCGCAAUUUCUUCAUCAAAUACUUAUUUGAUGUGAAAACGAACACGCGACGAUCACUCUCGCGGCUACCGUGUGUGAAAUCGGUGUCAAUUGGCAGCUAAGACUUUCAAAAAUAUCAAAGGUGUAUAUUGGGUUGCAUAAGGUAACUUAAAAGCUAUUAAAGAGAUAGAUGGCGUUAGAAUAAUAAGUUUUCUGUAAAAAAAUAAUAAAAUUUUAGGUUAGAUUAAUUUCUGUGCUAUUAAAAUGGCGGAAAAUAUUAUAAAACGUUGUUUUUAGUGAGAAAUUGUAAGUUUUACCAGAAUUUUUACAGAUUUCUACAUUUUUUUAAGUUUAAAUGUAUUUAUAAGCGUGUAAAAUGGGUUGCAUAAGUUAAUUUUGUAAACUAAUGCCCAAUAGACGGCGUUAGUGUCACAUAUACCUAAAAUAAUGUUUUCUUGUCGUAUUCUUAUUGUCAUUCCUGAUUAUAGCCGGCGUGCGAAUGUAAAACGUAAAUAUAAGCCAACACAUGUCGCCAA